rnacentral:tRNA from 1 species
GGUGUGGUGGUAUAGUGGUUCAUUCACUUGACUCUCAAUCCAAGGGCUUAGGGUUUGAAUCCCAACCGCACUU